GUGUCGUUGUGUCCUGAGUCUGAAUCUGCUGUCAGGAGGCUGACCUGGACCAUACCAUGCGUGGUGAAGCAUGUGUAACAAAUGUUCGCACAUUUGGAGUACUGUGCCGGGAAGAGGACGUGCUGUCCCUGAAGGAUGUCCGAGCUGAAGGAUGUCCGAGCGGAGACACCGGAGCGUCCUGUCAACAGCAGAUAAACACUACUUCACCUAAGAGACUUGAGUAUCCAGUUCUUCGUUGACCUUCAGCAUUCAGUUGUUUGUCUUCACCUUUUCAGAAUGCUGUUGGACAAAUGCUCUGCAGAAACUACACAGCUUAAUUCUCUGCAAAUAUCAGGCCUUGCUGUUCACUGCCAGAGUGGGAAUACAAUUUGCAGGUAGAUUUUAACAUAAUUAACUCUGUUUGAACAGAAGUUUUUUUUUACUCUUGUUCCAAUCCAUAAUCUGUUAAAACCUCAAGACUGUUAAUUUGCCUCUGAGCAUGGGCUCAAUUCAGGUACAAGGAAUUGGAAAAUAUUGAGAAAAUGAAAUGUAAAUUCACUGCGGAAUGAUUUAACCCAUGCAUCACAUCUGGUUACUGUGUAGUGUUUCUAUCUAAAGCAUGUUAAUGAGUUGAUUAGACUAAUGAGAUCGAAGUUAGACUGAAGAUAAAUAUGAUAGCACAUUUGCAUUAUUUCAGUUUUGUAAGCCACCUAACAAUGAAUGCAACUAAAAAUACAAAUAUCUUCAUAUUGUUGUAUAUGCUCUUUUUGAAAGAAAAAAAAAACAAUCUUAAGUGAGAUGAAAAGUGACUGAACAUUAUAUAGUGUAUUAAUUGGCUACAGUAUAACACAGGUUUAAAAGCUGUUAAAUCUUAGCAUAUUGCAUUUAUGUAUAAAAUAUUCACCUUUCUAAUUUGCAGCUGUGAAGUUAAAAGAGUCAAAGCAAUGUAUUAAGUGAACAUCAGCCUUAAGGCAGAACAUAAAGAAAGGUGAUAAAGGAAGAAAACUGACUGACUAAUGUA